rnacentral:rRNA from 1 species
UACAGAGGGUGCGAGCGUUGUUCGGAUUCACUGGGUUUAAAGGGUGCGUAGGCGGGCAGGUAAGUCCGUGGUGAAAUCUCUGAGCUUAACUCAGAAACUGCCAUGGAUACUAUUUGUCUUGAAUGUUGUGGAGGUAAGCGGAAUAUGUCAUGUAGCGGUGAAAUGCUUAGAUAUGACAUAGAACACCCAUUGCGAAGGCAGCUUACUACACAAAUAUUGACGCUGAGGCACGAAAGCGUGGGGAUCAAACAGG